rnacentral:rRNA from 1 species
UACGAAGGGGGCUAGCGUUGCUCGGAAUUACUGGGCGUAAAGGGAGCGUAGGCGGAUAGUUAAGUCAGAGGUGAAAGCCCAGGGCUCAACCUUGGAAUUGCCUUUGAUACUGGCUAUCUUGAGUAUGGGAGAGGUAAGCGGAACUCCGAGUGUAGAGGUGAAAUUCGUAGAUAUUCGGAAGAACACCAGUGGCGAAGGCGGCUUACUGGCCCAUUCUGACGCUGAGGCUCGGAAAGCGUGGGGAGCAAACAGGG